rnacentral:rRNA from 1 species
CAUACAAGGCAUACGGCUCAGUAACGCGUAGUCAACCUAACCUAUGGACGGGAAUAACCUCGGGAAACUGAGAAUAAUGCCCGAUAGAACAUUAUGCCUGGAAUGGUUUAUGUUCCAAAUGAUUUAUCGCCGUAGGAUGGGACUGCGGCCUAUCAGUUUGUUGGUGAGGUAAUGGCCCACCAAGACUAUUACAGGUACGGGCUCUGAGAGGAGUAGCCCGGAGAUGGGUACUGAGACACGGACCCAGGCCCUAUGGGGCGCAGCAGGCGAGAAAACUUUGCAAUGUGCGAAAGCACGACAAGGUUAAUCCGAGUGGUUUCUGCUAAAGAAACCUUUUGUCAGUCCUAGAAACACUGAUGAAUAAGGGGUGGGCAAGUUCUGGUGUCAGCCGCCGCGGUAAAACCAGCACCUCAAGUGGUCAGGAUGAUUAUUGGGCCUAAAGCAUCCGUAGCCGGCUCUGUAAGUUUUCGGUUAAAUCUGUACGCUCAACGUACAGGCUGCCGGGAAUACUGCAGAGCUAGGGAGUGGGAGAGGUAGACGGUACUCGGUAGGAAGGGGUAAAAUCCUUUGAUCUAUUGAUGACCACCUGUGGCGAAGGCGGUCUACCAGAACACGUCCGACGGUGAGGGAUGAAAGCUGGGAGAGCAAACCGGAUUAGAUACCCGGGUAGUCCCAGCUGUAAACUAUGCAAACUCAGUGAUGCAUUGGCUUGUGGCCAAUGCAGUGCUGCAGGGAAGCCGUUAAGUUUGCCGCCUGGGAAGUACGUACGCAAGUAUGAAACUUAAAGGAAUUGGCGGGGGGAGCACCACAAGGGGUGAAGCCUGCGGGUUCAAUUGGAAGUCAACGC